UUUAAUUUAUAAAUUAAAACUUAAUUUUUUAAUCAAAAAGUUAAAAUUUUAAUAAAGGACGAGAAGACCCUAUAGAACUUUAUUAUUAUAAUAUAAUUAUUUUAUUGAUAAUAAUUUUUAUUUAUUUUAUAAAUAAUUUUGUUGGGGUGACAGAAAAAAACUAAUAACUUUUUUUUAUUUAAUCAUUUAUAUAUGAUUUUUUGAUCCUUUUUUAUGGAUAAAAAGAUUAAGUUACCUUAGGGAUAACAGCGUUAUUAUUUUAGAGAGUUCAUAUUGAUAAAGUAGUUUGCGACCUCGAUGUUGGAUUAAAAUUAGUUUCAGGAGCAGAAAAUUGAUUA
rnacentral:rRNA from 1 species